AGAAAACAAAGGCUUCUGUGAUCAAUAUUUUAUGUCAAACAUCCUGUGAGGAUGAAGGGCCCUUCUAUGCUUCACCAUUUUAACCUCUCAUUUGGAGAAGCAAAAAGAGGCCUGGGAGAAGCUGCGUUCGCAAAAUCUCUCCUGGAUGACUUGUUCAGAAGCCAAUUCAGUAAAUUCAAACUGUUCCAGAGUCCCCUUUUGAAAACCACAGAUCCGUGGACCCACUAA
rnacentral:lncRNA from 1 species